UUCUGCUUUUCUUAGGUUUACCUUGCUAAUUUUUUCUAAGUUUUUCAAGUGACUAAUAUUUUGACUUUUAAAAGCACUGCAAUGGUAUAUCCCACAGGUACUAAUAUGCAGUGCCUUUGUUAUGUUUUUAUUUUUAAGACAUUCAGUAAUUUCAGUUUUUAGACGGUUAAAAGGAUUUCCUAAUGCUUUUUUUUUUUUUUUUUUACAUUUUGAAAAUGUUACACAAUUUUGCAUUGUUUUAUUCUCCACUGCUUUGUAUCCUACGACAGUGUCCCGCCCUCCUUCCUCACCUCGGUUCUCUAAAGAUCAAAGGUCAAGAGGAGGGUUUCCAGCCCUGGAGCCCGCCAAAGGGUGGGCCCUUGCGGUUCACGCGCGGAAACAGCGAUAGGGACACCCAGGGCCCACGAAGGCUGGGGACAAAGCAGAUCCUCCCAGCCCCCAACACCACCCCGGCGUAGGCGCAGACCCCGAGGGUCCCCGGGGCCGGAACCUCACCCCGCGGGCACCAGCCCGAUUGGCAGAGCGCCGCCGAGAUGUUUCCACAGGGACGCCCCCGCCCGAAUGCCUCACUGGGAUUGGCUGGUUUCUUGGUUCAGACCUGGAUGGUGGCCAGAGGGGGACAAGAGGCUUUCACACCGAACGGAGGUGAUGCGGGCGACGGAGACGCAGCCGCACUUCCACUAGCGGCCGGGCCCCGAGGACAUGGCGGCGGCCUCUGCAGCGUCAGUGCUGCCGGCGGCAGCGAGAAACCGGUGGCGGCACUGCCUGAGCCCGCUGCUGUCAAGGUGACAGGACGAAAAGCGGCGCGGAGCGGUAGUGACAGAAGGAAGAAAACAUUAUGGCGGGAAUUCAGAUAAAGGACAAACCCCUGACUGCUACUGACUUAUUGAACUGGUAGUCAGGUCAACUUGGGAAGACAGCUGUGACCCUAAAUGUUAAGACGAAAGGAUUCCCUGGACACUGAGACUUUCUGCAGUGGAGGAAAUGACAGUGUACCUAGCUGACAUUCAGUUCCUGGGAUGAGAUAGCUCGGGGCGCAGUGCUCGCCAUUGCUGAAUAAGCAAUCACAACGUGCACUGGGUUUCUUUGAGAAUAUUUGAAUCACCAGACGUCACAGGAACCCACUCACUACCAUGUGAGGACAGCACCAAACCGUUCAUGAGGGAUCCGCCCAUGAUCCAAACAACCCCCACCGGCCCCCACCUCCAGCACUGGGGAUGGGUUCCACAUGAGAUUUGGGCAGGAACAAAUACCCAAACUGUGUCAACAUGGAAAUAAGUAACCUGGAAAAGGAGAACUGGAGCUGUUCAUGUACUGGGAAGGGAACCCUGUGGCCUCACUGGGCACAGCCUGGUCUUCACCCUGCUUCCUGUAGCUUCCUGGAUACUGAAGGUUUCUGACUGAAAGGUGCUCUUGACCGUGCAUUCAUAGAUACAUAACUGAAACGAAGUUGCACCAAACAGUGUUUACUCUUGUUACGUGAGAUACGGAUCCUGCGUCCUUUUUUCAGUUCUGUUGGUAACUCAAAAUUCCAUGAACCAUUUAGUGGAAACCGGCAUUUUGAAGAGAACACCACUAGGGGGCUCCAGAGUUCUAGCCAACUACAAAGUGAUGCUUGAUCAUUGCCAAAACAUGAAUAACCCCCAUGGUGAAACCCCAUUUCUACUAAAAAUGCAAAAAUUAGCUGGGCAUGGUGGCACGCGCCUGGAAUCCCAGCUACUCAGGAGGCGGAGGCAGGAGAAUCGCUCGAUCCUGGGAGGUGGAGGCUGAGAUCCUGCCACUGCAGUCCAGUGCAAAAAACCCCAGAGUUCAUAUAAGUAGGUAACACCAGCAAAAAGAAAAACUAGUGGACUAUAAUUGGGGGAUAUUCUGUGACUAUCAGAAGUAAAUUAAUUAAUUUAAUCAUUCCAUUCUGACUCGUUUUUCCUUUGUUGAGAAAAUAUUAUAAUAAAACCUGCU
rnacentral:lncRNA from 1 species